UGCCAGCCGCCGCGGUAACACGAACUGCGCGAACGUUAUUCGGAAUCACUGGGCUUAAAGAGUCCGUAGGCGGCUUGGUAGGUGAGGUGUGAAAUCCCACGGCUCAACCGUGGAACUGCGCUUCAAACCACCAAGCUAGAGGGAGAUAGAGGAGAGCGGAACUGAUGGUGGAGCGGUGAAAUGCGUUGAUAUCAUCAGGAACACCGGUGGCGAAAGCGGCUCUCUGGGUCUCUUCUGACGCUGAGGGACGAAAGCUAGGGGAGCGAACGGGAUUAGAUA
rnacentral:rRNA from 1 species